rnacentral:rRNA from 1 species
GUGCGAUGCGCGUAUGCAAUCUACCUUGUACAGGGGGAAUGCCCAGAGAAAUUUGGAUUAAUACCCCAUGGUGUUAUGGAGUGGCAUCACUUUUUUACUAAAGUUAUGGCGGUACAAGAUGAGCAUGCGUCCCAUAUGCUAGUUGGUAUGGAUGCGGCAUACCAAGGCUACGAUGGGAUGGGGUCCUGAGAGGGAGAUCCCCCACACUGGUACUGAGACACGGACCAGACUCCUACGGGAGGCAGCAGUGAGGAAUAUUGGUCAAUGGUCGGAAGACUGAACCAGCCAUGCCGCGUGCAGGAAGACGGUCCUAUGGAUUGAUGACUGCUUUUAUACAGGAAGAAACCCUCUCACGAGUGGGAGCUUGACGGUACUGUAUGAAAUGGCAUCGGCAUGCUCCGUGCCAGCAGCCGCGGAUGUACGGAGGAUGCGAGCGUUAUCCGGAAUCAUUGGGUUAUGAGGGUCCGAUGGCGGUUAUGGUCAGUGGUGAAAUCUGGUCGCUCAACGAUCAAACUGCCAUUGAUACUGUUAGACUUGAAUA